UAAAUAUAUCAGGGGUCAGUACAGAUAUCUCUUCCAUGAUCUAUUUAUACCCCGGAUUGUGACUAUGACGAGGGAACAUCCUCUACAUCUAGAGGAAAGAAGGGUCAUGCAGAAUCUGAAAGUUUG